CACAAGCGGUGGAGCAUGUGGUUUAAUUCGAAGCAACGCGAAGAACCUUACCAGGUCUUGACAUCCUCUGACAACUCUAGAGAUAGAGCGUUCCCCUUCGGGGGACAGAGUGACAGGUGGUGCAUGGUUGUCGUCAGCUCGUGUCGUGAGAUGUUGGGUUAAGUCCCGCAACGAGCGCAACCCUUGAUCUUAGUUGCCAGCAUUUAGUUGGGCACUCUAAGGUGACUGCCGGUGACAAACCGGAGGAAGGUGGGGAUGACGUCAAAUCAUCAUGCCCCUUAUGACCUGGGCUACACACGUGCUACAAUGGAUGGUACAAAGGGCUGCAAGACCGCGAGGUCAAGCCAAUCCCAUAAAACCAUUCU
rnacentral:rRNA from 1 species